UGUUGAUCAUAGGUAAACUCUUACAAAAUUGUUAUAAUUUGAUUGGUCGAUGAUUUUUAAUUUUUAUUUAUUUUAAUUAGAUCUAAAAAGAAAAGGUAAGUCUAUAACCAAUUAAUGUCACUUACCAAAUUAAAUACAUAAGAUUACAAAUAAUGAUUUAUGGUAACUAAUUGUUGAAAUUAUAGAAAGAGAAAUUAAUUGAUCAUUUUUAUAUUUAAAAAUACAUAAAAUAAUAAACGACAAACCGUUUAUAUAAAUCAAUAUAAUAAUUUUAUAUUAUUAUUUAAAAGCACUAUAUUUUAUAUAAAUUAUCAUAAUGACUAUUAAUAUCUUCUAAAGUUCAUAUUAUAUGCUUUAUAAAUCAUCUAUAAAAACAUUUAUCAAAUUAUUUAUCUUGGCUUAUUAUAUAUUUUAAAUUGUUAUAUGAGUUUGUAAAUCAUCUAUAAGAGCUUAAAAUCAAAGCUAUAUAUCCUACUAUAUUAAUUGAAAAGUCAUUUAAGAGAUUUUUGGUUAUGUGUCGAUCAUUUCUGAAAUCUAAAAAAAUUGUUAUAAAUUGAUUUACGUAAUAUUACAAAUAAUUAUUUAUGGUAACUAAUUGUUGAAACUAUAAAAAGAGUAAUAAUGUUUGAUCAAUUUUUAUAUAUUUAUAAACUACAAAAAAUAGUAAACAAAAAGGUUUAUUAAAGUCGAUAUAAUGAUUUUAUAUUCUUAUAUAAAACCUUAUAUUUGUAUAGGGGUGUCAAAAUGGGUCGAAAUUAAUGGUUUUAUCCAAACCAACCUAUGGAAUGGAUCCUAAUGGAUCAAAAUUUGGAUGGUAAUGGAUUAAUGGUUUUGAUGGGUUAGUGGAUUUAAUUAGUUUGGAUUAAAAUGGUUUGGGUUUUGAUGGGUCAGUGGAUUAUCCAAUCCAACCCAUUUUUUCACAUUAUGUCAUUCUCUUAUUUUUCGUCUGCGACACAAUCGAUUGACUAUUAACACAUGUUUGGGUCAAUUCGGGCGCUUAAAGAACAGAGUCGAGUACAGCUCAAGACCCGUGCCUCCAAACCUGAUUGCAGCAGAGAAAGAAGAACCUUACAAGGAAAAUGACAAAAGCUAGAUUGAACCUGAAAAGUUUGAUGUUUGAUUUUGCUAACAGGAGGAGAGCUUACCACACUUGAGAUACGAGAUUCUCUCAUUUCUUCCCUCGAACAACUUCAUGAAGAACAUGGUGAUCUUCUCUCUGACCUCGCUGUCAGCUUCCCUGAUCCACCGCCACCACCUGCUGAAGAUAGACCAGUUUCUUCACCUCCACCUCGUGGUCUCACAUAUUCCGCUGCAGAUGUUCGGUACAGUUAAAUCUCCGACGCAGCCACGGGCCACCAUGCUAGGAACCGCCAUUUCUCUGCCUCAUCAUAUCCCUAUACCUCAUUCUCGACACUUCUCCUCUCACUGUCUUUCCCUUGGACUCGUAAGCUCACAAUCCCAUGAUUCAGAAAGCAGAGCUGAGAGUGAUAACGAUGAAGCUGUCUCCGGAGAUGAUCUUGAAGCAGGAGAUAAACCUCUAAGGAAGAAGAAACGUUACUAGCAUCACACUGCUAAACAAAUUCAAGACCUCGAAUCGUAAUACUCUUUCUUCUUAAUAAUCGUAAUACUUUUUCUUCUUAACCACACAAAAGCUCCUCUUUUUGUUCCAUCAUUACACGAUUUGAAUCUUUAUUACACGAUAAAUCACUUUAAUUUCAAACGAUAGAUUUUUCUUUUGGGUCUUUGUGAUUGAUUGAAAUCACUUCAAUUCGGCUAAUUUUACAUUCAUGUUGCAUAAUUAAGUUUCUGAGUUUCAUACCA